rnacentral:rRNA from 1 species
CCUACGGGUGGCUGCAGUAGGGAAUAUUGGGCAAUGGUCGCAAGACUGACCCAGCCAUGCCGCGUGCAGGAAGACGGCGCUCAGCGUUGUAAACUGCUUUUGAUAGGGAAGAACGGCCGUCCUGCGGGAUGGUGUGACGGUACCUACAGAAUAAGCACCGGCUAACUCCGUGCCAGCAGCCGCGGUAAUACGGAGGGUGCAAGCGUUGUCCGGAUUUAUUGGGUUUAAAGGGUGCGUAGGUGGCUAGCUAAGUCUGACCUGAAAGUGGGCCGCUU